rnacentral:rRNA from 1 species
GCAAGUCGAGGGGUAGAGUUCUUCGGAGCUUGAGACCGGCGCACGGGUGCGUAACGCGUAUGCAAUCUACCUUUUACAGAGGGAUAGCCCAGAGAAAUUUGGAUUAAUACCUCAUAGUAUAAUUGAAUGGCAUCAUUUAAUUAUUAAAGUCACAACGGUAAAAGAUGAGCAUGCGUCCCAUUAGCUAGUUGGUAAGGUAACGGCUUACCAAGGCUACGAUGGGUAGGGGUCCUGAGAGGGAGAUCCCCCACACUGGUACUGAGACACGGACCAGACUCCUACGGGAGGCAGCAGUGAGGAAUAUUGGACAAUGGGCGCAAGCCUGAUCCAGCCAUGCCGCGUGCAGGAUGACGGUCCUAUGGAUUGUAAACUGCUUUUGUACAGGAAGAAACACUGGUUCGUGAACCAGCUUGACGGUACUGUAAGAAUAAGGAUCGGCUAACUCCGUGCCAGCAGCCGCGGUAAUACGGAGGAUCCAAGCGUUAUCCGGAAUCAUUGGGUUUAAAGGGUCCGUAGGCGGUUUGGUAAGUCAGUGGUGAAAGCCCAUCGCUCAACGGUGGAACGGCCAUUGAUACUGCUAGACUUGAAUUAUUAGGAAGUAACUAGAAUAUGUAGUGUAGCGGUGAAAUGCUUAGAGAUUACAUGGAAUACCAAUUGCGAAGGCAGGUUACUACUAAUGGAUUGACGCUGAUGGACGAAAGCGUGGGUAGCGAACAGGAUUAGAUACCCUGGUAGUCCACGCCGUAAACGAUGGAUACUAGCUGUUGGAAGCAAUUUCAGUGGCUAAGCGAAAGUGAUAAGUAUCCCACCUGGGGAGUACGUUCGCAAGAAUGAAACUCAAGGAAUUGACGGGGGCCCGCACAAGCGGUGGAGCAUGUGGUUUAAUUCGAUGAUACGCGAGGAACCUUACCAAGGCUUAAAUGUAGAUUGACCGGUUUGGAAACAGACUUUUCGCAGACAAUUUACAAGGUGCUGCAUGGUUGUC